rnacentral:snoRNA from 1 species
AACACUUGUGAAUGGGUGCAAAAAAUACAUCCUCUUUUGCAACCCAGAACUCACUGUUCAGUAUGAGAUUAGAUGCACAGAAAAGGAACAUC